GUGAAUGACGUGUCGGAUUAUUGGGCGUAAGCGCGCGCAGGCGGUUUCUUAAGUCUGAUGUGAAAGCCCCCGGCUCAACCGGGGAGGGUCAUUGGAAACUGGGGAACUUGAGUGCAGAAGAGGAGAGUGGAAUUCCACGUGUAGCGGUGAAAUGCAUAGAGAUGUGGAGGAACACCAGUGGCGAAGGCGACUCUCUGGUCUGUAACUGACGCUGAGGCGCGAAAGCGUGGGGAGCGAACAGGAUUAGAUACCCUGGUAGUCCACGCCGUAAACGAUGAGUGCUAAGUGUUAGAGGGUUUCCGCCCUUUAGUGCUGCAGCAAACGCAUUAAGCACUCCGCCUGGGGAGUACGGUCGCAAGACUGAAACUCAAAGGAAUUGACGGGGGCCCGCACAAGCGGUGGAGCAUGUGGUUUAAUUCGAAGCAACGCGAAGAACCUUACCAGGUCUUGACAUCCUCUGACAACCCUAGAGAUAGGGCUUCCCCUUCGGGGGCAGAGUGACAGGUGGUGCAUGGUUGUCGUCAGCUCGUGUCGUGAGAUGUUGGGUUAAGUCCCGCAACGAGCGCAACCCUUGAUCUUAGUUGCCAGCAUUCAGUUGGGCACUCUAAGGUGACUGCCGGUGACAAACCGGAGGAAGGUGGGGAUGACGUCAAAUCAUCAUGCCCCUUAUGACCUGGGCUACACACGUGCUACAAUGGGCAGAACAAAGGGCAGCGAAGCCGCGAGGCUAAGCCAAUCCCACAAAUCUGUUCUCAGUUCGGAUCGCAGUCUGCAACUCGACUGCGUGAAGCUGGAAUCGCUAGUAAUCGCGGAUCAGCAUGCC
rnacentral:rRNA from 1 species